AAGGAGCAUCUAGGCUGCCGGGCUUGCCCGGUGGUCCAGGGCCAUAACGCAGGCGAAUGUUCUGCGGUGGUUGCUCAUGGGUGGAACGUUGAUUAUUCGGCUGGUUUCCUGGGUCGGAGGCUGUGAGUACUGCUCGUAAGAGUGUGGAAAGCAUGAUCUCUGGACGGGGACGGGUCGGGCACGCUGUUGGGUGUCUGAGGGUAUGGCCGUAUGGCUGCCUUCAGUGCCGGCCCCGGUAAAAAUCUGCGUGAGCGGGUUGUGACGGGUGGUUGGUCGUUGUUUGAGAACUGCACAGUGGACGCGAGCAUCUGU
rnacentral:misc_RNA from 1 species